GAGCGCUGGCGGAAUGCUUUACACAUGCAAGUCGAACGGCAGCACGGGGGCAACCCUGGUGGCGAGUGGCGAACGGGUGAGUAACGCAUCGGAACGCGUCCUGUAAUGGGGGAUAACCUGGCGAAAGCCAGGCUAAUACCGCAUACGUCCUGAGGGAGAAAGCGGGGGAUUGGCAACGACCUCGCGUUAUAGGAGCGGCCGAUGUCGGAUUAGCUAGUUGGUGGGGUAAAGGCCUACCAAGGCGACGAUCCGUAGCGGGUCUGAGAGGACGGCCCGCCACACUGGGACUGAGACACGGCCCAGACUCCUACGGGAGGCAGCAGUGGGGAAUUUUGGACAAUGGGCGCAAGCCUGAUCCAGCCAUUCCGCGUGAGUGAAGAAGGCCUUCGGGUUGUAAAGCUCUUUCGGCCGGGAAGAAAUCGCAUCUCCUAAUAUGGGGUGUGGAUGACGGUACCGGAAGAAGAAGCACCGGCUAACUACGU
rnacentral:rRNA from 1 species